UUACGGUUAUAUCUCGGCGAAACAUCAAUUCUCACACGAUCACCGAAGUUAAGCAGCGUCUAGUCUAGUCAGUACCUAGGUGAGUGACCGAUUGGGAAUACCAGGUGCUGUAAG